AUGUCGGCUCAUCGCAUCCUGGGGCUGUAGUCGGUCCCAAGGGUUGGGCUGUUCGCCCAUUAAAGCGGUACGCGAGCUGGGUUCAGAACGUCGUGAGACAGUUCGGUCCCUAUCCGUCGUGGGCGUAGGAAAUUUGAGAGGAGCUGUCCUUAGUACGAGAGGACCGGGAUGGACAUACCUCUGGUGUACCAGUUGUCGUGCCAACGGCAUAGCUGGGUAGCUAUGUGUGGACGGGAUAAGUGCUGAAAGCAUCUAAGCAUGAAGCCCCCCUCAAGAUGAGAUUUCCCAACUUCGGUUAUAAGAUCCCUCAAAGAUGAUGAGGUUAAUAGGUUCGAGGUGGAAGCAUGGUGACAUGUGGAGCUGACGAAUACUAAUCGAUCGAAGACUUAAUCAA
rnacentral:rRNA from 1 species